rnacentral:rRNA from 1 species
CCUACGGGUGGCAGCAGUGAGGAAUAUUGGUCAAUGGCCGAGAGGCUGAACCAGCCAAGUCGCGUGAGGGAAGAAUGUCUUAUGGAUUGUAAACCCUUUUUGUCAGGGAGCAAAGUCACCCACGUGUGGGAGUUGGAGAGUACAUGAACAUAAAGCAUCGGCUAACUCCGUGCCAGCAGCCGCGGUAAUACGGAGGAUGCGAGCGUUAUCCGGAUUUAUUGGGUUUAAAGGGUGCGUAGGGGGGUUAUCAAGUCAGCGGUAAAAUCGUGGAGCUAAACUCCAUACAGCCGUUGAAACUGAUGAUCUUGAGUGGGCGAGAGGUAGGCGGAAUGCGUGGUGUAGCGGUGAAAUGCAUAGAUAGCAAGAAGAACUCCGAUUGCGAAGGCAGCAUACCGGCGCCCGACUGACGCUGAGGCACGAAAGCGUGGGUAGCGAACAGGAUUAGAUACCCUUGUAGUC